UUGGUGAAGAGCCUGGAGGCAGGAUCUGCUGUUUUAGAAAAUAUUUAAUGAUAUGCAGUUCUGACCUCAAAAACACUGCAGACUAAACUUCAUGAAGGCAGUGUACAUUCUUUUUCUCCAUUCAACAGGUUAGAAUUUAUGCUUGAUGAUGUAGCAGUUUUUACGGAGGGAAAAGUUUUGAGUAAUUGCAAAGCACAAGGAAAACAGUUCUCAAGGAAGGCUUCCGACCAGAUUCAGAUAAUUCUUCAGUCAGCCAUGGUAUUUAGAUCAUAGAAAUUUGGAGUUCAGCUAGGAGGAAAGUCUUGGAGGCCAUGGUUGUUCAUGUUGACAAUCUCACUUCAUGAAAGUGGUCAUAUUGUCAACUUCUGUAUAUUGGUGAGUUUCUUAUUUAGUGGGUCUUGUAAAAUAUACCUUUAUUUUACAGUAGAGAUGGUCUUCCCAACUGUAUAGAUCAAACUGAACUUAUCUAAAGCUCAAGUUAUAUAUA